AUGUGAUGAAACUUUAGCGUCAGCCCCGACAUAAGUACAAUGAAAUUCCCUAUAAUCUACAGAUAGUUAUAUAGUGUCAGAUCAAUAUCGGAGGUAACGGAUACCAUCCAUGCACUGAUGCACUACCAUUUAGUUCACCAAAGAAGAAAAGGACAUAGGUAUGAUCAUAAGUAAAGUGAACUUCUGGUGGCACGUCACUCUCCAUUGCCCUAAUCAGUGAUGAUACAGUUCCACAAGCAAAACGGGGCCUAUUUUUAAAAGUACUUUCAUCUCUCAUCAAUAAUAAUAAUAAUAAUUAUUAUUAUUUGAUCCGAAACAUCAAUUAUUAUAGGUCAUGUUAAUAGCUACCCACUAGCUUUAGGUAGGAUAUAAGUAGCACACAAUGGAAGAUUAAAAUCUCCCUAUACCAUUUAGUGUGGUAGUUUAGGGAGUGUUCGUAGCACCUUUGGAAAAAGAAAAUUAUGCCAAACUCAUUAUGAUCGGAGAUGGAGAGUUGCAUGAACACGUUGCAAAUUGUCAUACAAAAAUGGAUGGUAAAUAUAUUCUACAGUUUUAACUUUACGUUUUACACAAUGAAAACCAACUUAUUGACUAUCUAUCAAUCUCCGAUCAUAAUGAGAUUUCGUAGACUUAGAGUUUUUCGCGUGUUCUACAAGGUGAAGUGUUCGGAUCUUUAUUGUUGGACCGAGAUGUGGGCAAAAAUUUGAGAGUAUGGAGGGGUAUGGAGCGAUGAGGUAUGGAGAGGAAUCGAUCCCGUGGACGUGUGGCUAAAAGUAUUACUCCCAAGAUAGCUUGGGUUUGGUCAGUCUAUUCUGGACAAACAAUGAGUCUUUUGUUUGAUGGAUAUGGACAAUGGAUUAGACGACUGGUUAUCCAAAGUGACCACAAAUAAGGUGAUUGUGUCCAACAAUUUUGGCCGGAUCAUUUAUCGGAUAAAUAAUCCCACAAAGUACGACAUAUGCAUUACAAUGACAAUGAAAGAGUGUGAUACUGAGAUUAAUGGAAUAACAUGUAGUACCAUGUAGACUGUAGUUAUAUCUCUCUUCUUCUUUUUUCUGCUAACAAAUCUAGGACAGUGAGGUAAUCACUGUGGCCCUUCCAAUAAAAAGCAAUUCUUAUUCAAUUAUUGCCUUCUUUGGUGUCACUAGCAUAAAAAGCUUUUCUUUCCUUAUCCUGUGUUUUAGAAUAGUACUAUUUUUUAUUUUUUUUUUAACAAUAACCAUUAGUUUAGUUUUCUGGGCUCCAUCAAUUCAUCCAUUCAAGCAACCACCAUGAAUUUCCAGAAAUGAAGGCUGCAAAAAACACAGAAGGAAUCAAAACCCGAAAGUUCAAAAGACAUAAAUAAAAUAAAUCAAUCAAAACCCAUGAAUGGAGGAGGCUUAUUUGAAUGACUGCCACUGUGGAAGUGACAUAGGGUUUCUAACUUCUAGGGAAUAUGGCUGGGAGGUACUCUUGCGAGGUAGCCACCGCUUUGGAGGGAGCAACCAGUCAUCACUGUCCCACUGAGGCGCGAGUUAAGCAAGGCAAGGGCGGAGCUAAAUAUAUGGUGGGGUGAGCUAUUAUAGCCCAGGUCAACUUUGAAAAAAAUAAAAAAUUAACAUGUAAAAUUUAGCAAAAACGAGGCUAAUAGUAGAACGGUUCAAUCAAAUGCUUAACUCCACAAACUUUUAACAACACAACCCAAUGGCCGAUUGUUGUUAACCCCAUGGAGUUUGGCCAAAUAAUUUUAGCCCAACCCAUUCCACCCACCAACCUAUUUUAACCCAGGACAGAUUACAUUCCUGGUUCCGCCCUUGAAGCAAGGUGUCUUAACACGCAACAUCUGGUUCACAAGAACUACUGCAAGUGGGUUCAACUUUCGACCACAUGAAGAGGGAGGGAGUUUCACCCCGCAUCUUUGCCAACUUUACGUCAAAACAGGGCUUCCCUUUUCACGACACCAAAUCCAACAUACCAUCUCAGUAAAUUCUAACCACAAGAAGGUAAAACACAAGAAUGAUAAACAGAUAUCCUUAUCUACAGCAUAAUAAUGGUAAUUACCCACUUGACCAUCCCAUUUUUACCAAUCAUCUUGAUGACAUGGUACCGCCAUCAUGAUAAUUACGAUGGCCAUCUUACUCGAGGAACCCAGUUUUGGUUAACACAGUAUUCCUUACCCUACUUAGGUCUCUCCCUUUGAGAGUCCUCCCAGC